GAUGAACGCUGGCGGCGUGCCUAAUACAUGCAAGUCGAGCGAACGGACGAGAAGCUUGCUUCUCUGAUGUUAGCGGCGGACGGGUGAGUAACACGUGGAUAACCUACCUAUAAGACUGGGAUAACUUCGGGAAACCGGAGCUAAUACCGGAUAAUAUUUUGAACCGCAUGGUUCAAAAGUGAAAGACGGUCUUGCUGUCACUUAUAGAUGGAUCCGCGCUGCAUUAGCUAGUUGGUAAGGUAACGGCUUACCAAGGCAACGAUGCAUAGCCGACCUGAGAGGGUGAUCGGCCACACUGGAACUGAGACACGGUCCAGACUCCUACGGGAGGCAGCAGUAGGGAAUCUUCCGCAAUGGGCGAAAGCCUGACGGAGCAACGCCGCGUGAGUGAUGAAGGUCUUCGGAUCGUAAAACUCUGUUAUUAGGGAAGAACAUAUGUGUAAGUAACUGUGCACAUCUUGACGGUACCUAAUCAGAAAGCCACGGCUAACUACGUGCCAGCAGCCGCGGUAAUACGUAGGUGGCAAGCGUUAUCCGGAAUUAUUGGGCGUAAAGCGCGCGUAGGCGGUUUUUUAAGUCUGAUGUGAAAGCCCACGGCUCAACCGUGGAGGGUCAUUGGAAACUAGAAAACUUGAGUGCAGAAGAGGAAAGUGGAAUUCCAUGUGUAGCGGUGAAAUGCGCAGAGAUAUGGAGGAACACCAGUGGCGAAGGCGACUUUCUGGUCUGUAACUGACGCUGAUGUGCGAAAGCGUGGGGAUCAAACAGGAUUAGAUACCCUGGUAGUCCACGCCGUAAACGAUGAGUGCUAAGUGUUAGGGGGUUUCCGCCCCUUAGUGCUGCAGCUAACGCAUUAAGCACUCCGCCUGGGGAGUACGACCGCAAGGUUGAAACUCAAAGGAAUUGACGGGGACCCGCACAAGCGGUGGAGCAUGUGGUUUAAUUCGAAGCAACGCGAAGAACCUUACCAAAUCUUGACAUCCUUUGACAACUCUAGAGAUAGAGCCUUCCCCUUCGGGGGGGCAAAGUGACAGGUGGUGCAUGGUUGUCGUCAGCUCGUGUCGUGAGAUGUUGGGUUAAGUCCCGCAACGAGCGCAACCCUUAAGCUUAGUUGCCAUCAUUAAGUUGGGCACUCUAAGUUGACUGCCGGUGACAAACCGGAGGAAGGUGGGGAUGACGUCAAAUCAUCAUGCCCCUUAUGAUUUGGGCUACACACGUGCUACAAUGGACAAUACAAAGGGCAGCGAAACCGCGAGGUCAAGCAAAUCCCAUAAAGUUGUUCUCAGUUCGGAUUGUAGUCUGCAACUCGACUACAUGAAGCUGGAAUCGCUAGUAAUCGUAGAUCAGCAUGCUACGGUGAAUACGUUCCCGGGUCU
rnacentral:rRNA from 1 species